rnacentral:rRNA from 1 species
GUGGGGAAUAUUGCACAAUGGGGGAAACCCUGAUGCAGCGACGCCGCGUGAGUGAAGAAGUAUUUCGGUACGUAAAGCUCUAUCAGCAAGGAAGAAAAUGACGGUACUUGACUAAGAAGCCCCGGCUAACUACGUGCCAGCAGCCGCGGUAAUACGUAGGGGGCAAGCGUUAUCCGGAUUUACUGGGUGUAAAGGGAGCGUAGACGGUAUGGUAAGUCAGAUGUGAAAGCCCGGGGCUCAACCCCGGGACUGCAUUUGAAACUAUCAGACUAGAGUGCAGGAGAGGUAAGUGGAAUUCCUAGUGUAGCGGUGAAAUGCGUAGAUAUUAGGAGGAACACCAGUGGCGAAGGCGGCUUACUGGACGAUAACUGACGCUGAGGCUCGAAAGCGUGGGGAGCAAACAGGAUUAGAUACCCUAGUAGUCC